CGCGUAAUUGCAUUGCUUCUUGGGCAUAUAAUCAACACAACAGUGAAUCAAAUAGCCAAAGUUGAGGAUGAUUACCAUGAGAUGAUGGAGCUAAAGAAACGAGCAGAGGCAGCUGAUGUUGCUAAAUCACAGUUCCUUGCUACUGUGUCCCAUUAGAUCAGAACCCCAAUGAAUGGUGUUCUUGAUGGAUGAUGGAUGAUCUCGUGCAUGAAGCUAAAUUGUACAAGACUACGUGGCAGUAUAAGCAUUUUUGGGAGGAUUAAAUAUUUUUGGAUGGAUGUGUAUAGAUAACAAAUAUUAGUAGUUUUAUUUGUUGAUAGCUGCGCAUGGAUAACAAAUAGUUAUGUUUCAAAUUGUUAUGCUAGAUGGA